UCCAUGAGUACAGUGGCGACCGGGUGAGUAACACGUGACUACCUACCCUUGAGUGGGGGAUAACCUCGGGAAACCGAGGCUAAUACCGCAUAAUAUCGAGAGAUCAAAGGAGCAAUUCGCUUUUGGAGGGGGUCGCGGCUGAUUAGCUAGUUGGUAGGGUAAUGGCCUACCAAGGCGAAGAUCGGUAUCCGGCCUGAGAGGGCGCACGGACACACUGGAACUGAAACACGGUCCAG
rnacentral:rRNA from 1 species